rnacentral:tRNA from 1 species
CUAAAUUGCAAGUUUAGAGAAGCACCUAAAAGUGCCGGGGCUUCUCCCGUUU